AGGGCAUGUCUGCCUGAGCGUCACC
rnacentral:rRNA from 3 species